AAAAUCCCGAACUUAGCUUUUCUAUGAUUUAGCUCUCCCACCUUUUAAAAAAUUAUCAUCGUUACAAAGAUGGCCGUUUACAUAACAGUGGCAUUCUUUAAUUCUUUACUAAAAGCAAAUUGCUUCAGGAUUCUCGUGAGGCACUGAAGAAGCUUAAAAUUAUAUUUAAUUUAUCGGUACUUCUUCAGAUGUAUCAAUUAUCAUUCACGUGGGCCAGAAAGAUAGAAGAGGAACACUUCUCUCCAAGAAAAAGCAAGCACAACAUAAGAAAACUCGUGGCUAUCUUAAGCCACAUUCUGCCAUGUUGGUUGGAGACAGAGACCAGAGCUGCUUCCUGA
rnacentral:lncRNA from 1 species